AAAAAAACAAUGCACAGGAUCUGCAUAAAACCAGUGCUUUGCUCUGAGCACAGUGCGAUUUUCAUGGUUGCUGAAAGUGAUGCUUCUUGUGUUCCGAAGUCAGGUGUUGCUCCAGCAAACUAAUCUAAGAUAGGAUCUAAUUCAAAUGGAAGGAAGAAAGAUAGACUACUGAAUCAAACCUCAAAUUCAUGAAAAACCAUAUCUCUAGUGGCCAACGGGAGCAAGGGUGUGAGUCUGUGCUGGAUGAUAUUACCAUCUCUUCAAAGUUAAGUAUUUUCUUUCCAGGUAAGUGUUUGUGAUUCUUCAAGAUAAGAAUGAAAUUGGAAAGGCCUCUUAUAUAAGAACACAGCCAAGGAAAAUGCUGUCAGCCAUAUAUUACAACUGUGU